rnacentral:rRNA from 1 species
GUGAACGCUGGCGGUAGGCCUAACACAUGCAAGUCGAACGGCAGCACAGUAAGAGCUUGCUCUUACGGGUGGCGAGUGGCGGACGGGUGAGGAAUACAUCGGAAUCUACUUUUUCGUGGGGGAUAACGUAGGGAAACUUACGCUAAUACCGCAUACGACCUACGGGUGAAAGCAGGGGAUCUUCGGACCUUGCGCGAUUGAAUGAGCCGAUGUCGGAUUAGCUAGUUGGCGGGGUAAAGGCCCACCAAGGCGACGAUCCGUAGCUGGUCUGAGAGGAUGAUCAACCACACUGGAACUGAGACACGGUCCAGACUCCUACGGGAGGCAGCAGUGGGGAAUAUUGGACAAUGGGCGCAAGCCUGAUCCAGCCAUACCGCGUGGGUGAAGAAGGCCUUCGGGUUGUAAAGCCCUUUUGUUGGGAAAGAAAAGCAGCAGGUUAAUACCCCGCUGUUCUGACGGUACCCAAAGAAUAAGCACCGGCUAACUUCGUG